rnacentral:tRNA from 1 species
CAUUAAGUGGCUGAAACACAUUAAGCACUGGUCUCUUAAACCAACCUAUAGUCUUUAUAUGACUCUUAAUGA